ensembl:lncRNA
ACAGGUUAGUGACUGACUGACUGACUACAGGUUAGUGAUUGACUGACUGACUACAGGUUAGUGACUGACUGACUGACUACAGGUUAGUGACUGACUGACUGACUGACUACAGGUUAGUGACUGACUGACUGACUGACUACAGGUUAGUGACUGACUGACUACAGGUUAGUGACUGACUGACUGACUGACUACAGGUUAGUGACUGACUGACUGACUGACUGACUACAGGUUAGUGACUGACUGACUACAGGUUAGUGACUGACUGACUACAGGUUAGUGACUGACUGACUGACUACAGGUUAGUGACUGACUGACUACAGGUUAGUGACUGACUGACUACAGGUUAGUGACUGACUGACUGACUACAGGUUAGUGACUGACUGACUGACUGACUGA